AUUGAACGCUGGCGGCAGGCCUAACACAUGCAAGUCGAGCGGAUGAAGGGAGCUUGCUCCUGGAUUCAGCGGCGGACGGGUGAGUAAUGCCUAGGAAUCUGCCUGGUAGUGGGGGAUAACGUCCGGAAACGGGCGCUAAUACCGCAUACGUCCUGAGGGAGAAAGUGGGGGAUCUUCGGACCUCACGCUAUCAGAUGAGCCUAGGUCGGAUUAGCUAGUCGGUGGGAUAAAGGCCUACCAAGGCGACGAUCCGUAACUGGUCUGAGAGGAUGAUCAGUCACACUGGAACUGAGACACGGUCCAGACUCCUACGGGAGGCAGCAGUGGGGAAUAUUGGACAAUGGGCGAAAGCCCGAUCCAGCCAUGCCGCGUGUGUGAAGAAGGUCUUCGGAUUGUAAAGCACUUUAAGUUGGGAGGAAGGGCAGUAAGUUAAUACCUUGCUGUUUUGACGUUACCAACAGAAUAAGCACCGGCUAACUUCGUG
rnacentral:rRNA from 1 species